UGGGAUAUAAACAUUUAUUAAGGAUAUGAUUUAAUUUUCUGUUUUAACUUUAAGAAUAAUGUAAUUUCCCUAUUUAUUUGACUUAACAUUUAAAAUUUUAUUUUUUCCCUUGUCUGAUAAAAUAAUUGCAUUUUCUGAUGCUUUGUAUUCAUCUGAUACAUAGUGAUUUUUUUCAGCCUCUGUAUAUGUCUUCAUUUUUUAGUUAUGUUUAUCGUAUGGAGAAAAUUGCUUAUUUUUGUUUUUUAAUGUAUUCUGCUACUAUUUUUCAUUUAGUUGGAUUAUAUUAUCCUUUCGUAUUUAAAAUUAUGAGUGUUAGCCUUACAUUGCCUCCAUUUAUUUCUUUUGUAUUGAUUUUUAUACUCUUUCUUUUUGAAGUCAGCACUUUUCCUUUGUGUAUAGUUUUACUUGCAAGACCUUGAUGUUAAGUCUAUUUCCAUGUAUUCCUUGCUCUGAUAUCACAAUUCUCAUUUACCUGUCCCAUUUCAAGUUCCUUUAAUUUAUUUAAAUUGUUAAUUUAUCUUUCUUUAUUCCUUUUUCAUGUCACUCAUAGCCUAGUAGAACCCAUUCCCCAAAAAAUAGUCUGUGGCGUUGGGUUCAAGUAGGCUAAAUUAAUUCCUGAGGGAGCCUAAAUCCACAGAAAAGAAAUUAUGCUUUUCUUGGCCCCCAAUCCACAGUUUCAGGCAAAAUCUCUUAAAGCUUAAAUAUAGUUCAUGUCUGAGGUGUUCCAAGAGCAUUCUAGAAAAGGGAACUCAGUUUAUAGACUAGAUAUCAGCAAUACUAUAGCUAUUUAUUUUGUCCAUUCCCAAAUAAGUACUGAAAACACAGAAAGACUUGCAAGCAUGCAUUAACUCUUCUUUAAAACAUAGAUCUAUUAUCUCUGCUAUAGACACUUCUGAGAGGUAAAGAUUCCUGUGAAACUGGUGAGGCUGCUGAAUGAAUAUUUCACAUUUGUCCUGGAUCUGAACAAUCUGAGUAGCAUCAUAGGACCCAUAUCUAUUGGCUAACCAGACCCACAGGGUUUUCUUCCUGGUGAUGGUCAUCUCCAACAGGAGAUAGCUAUCCUCCUUCUGAGCAGCUACUGCCUGAUGCAAAGACGUGGGCUUUUGCAGACUCACAUGCUAGCUUCUAAUCCCAGAGAGGCACAUAUGUUAGGACUGCUAUUCUCGAGAUUUAAUCUCAGACUUCCCUAGGCAAGUACAGGUUCUCACCAGCAUGUGUAGACCAUCUCCAUCACUGCUUCUGGGAAUGGAAGAGGACAGAGACCUCUCUCUCUUCCCAUUGCGGGAAGUCCAGGGGGAUUUGUUAAAUAUGCCAAGUAACAUUCUCAAAAGAAAAAAAAUACAGAAAAAAGAUAUAGGCACUUUGCCCUCUUCUUUGAAAGUUUCCUGAGGAUCUGUAGCCAGUCUUAUUUGACCUCAGUCAUAGGGAACUCCGAAGAAGAUUGCUGUCUCAUCUCACUGAGCAGUGAGCUCAUAAUGGGACAAAAAGAAGCUUUUUGUCACCUAUGUUCUUUAGCAAGGAGGUAGAAGACAUAUAUGCUCCACCAGAACAAUCAGGGAACUAGCACAUCCUUAUGCAUUCUCUAGACUUAAGGUAGAGAUGCAUCCACACCCAGUGCAUAGAUGAUCAAUGAUUUCUUCUUAGACAUACAGGGAUCCAUGAAGUGCCACCUCCAUUCACUUGAAACUACACUUCACUGGGGGCAUCCAAACCAGUCAGCAAUCAUUCUAGCAAGGAAGCAAGUAGAGACUAGAACAUGGAGACCAACAGAGAGCAAAGGAAGGUCCUAAUAUGAACCCAGAAGACCAGAAUUGCUUCGAUUUUAAAGAGACCUACAAUGCAAACUUUAUAUGACAGACA